rnacentral:lncRNA from 1 species
UCGUUAUCGUUUCAAUAAGAUUUCGAUCUUUUCGAUUUCGAUAUUGAAUAAUCGAUUCGAUUUAUCGAUAAACGGAUUCGAAUGCACGCCUCUAACCGAGACCACAACUACACUAUAAAUCUGCAAGGUAAUCUAUUUCAUCUUUCUUCUCUGGAUUUCCUUGAUUUGGUUGAUAGAUAAUGGAUAAGAUUGAUAAUCAAAAUGAAAGAAGUUCCAACAGUUCUCUACAAGUAGCAAGUUAUAACUCAUUAAAGAGGUUUAUGGUUUCAAUUCAUUUCUUAUUAUUUAUUAAUUAAUAGAUCUAAGGAAGUACGCAGUCAGAAGGAAAAACACGAACAAAAAUAUUUAUUCAUAAAAUAAAUGAUAUUAACUAAAUAUAUAAAUCAGCUGGCGACAAAAAUUACAAGCCUCGAAUAAUAUCCAUACGUAUGAAAACAAAUUUCUCGUGAGAUUUAUCAAAUCAUCAGACCAUUUGUUUCACUUGUACAAAUUUUCACAAUGUUUUUCAAAAAAUUGAACUAAAAAUUUUGAAACUAAAAAGCACUGCAAAAUCAAAAUUUAUUAAUUAUUUCAUAAUGGGUGGUGGACUGGAUCCGAUCUGUUGAUUACGAGAAUUUGGCAUAGGCGAAGGAUAAGGUUUGAGCAGCUGCCUGGUACUCCGACCUCGGACAUAACUCAUAUUCUCUUUGAAUUUGACAGGCGACAAGUCUAACUCUAAGAUUCUGGAUUCGCCUCGCAAACACAAUGUAUCCGUUGAUAAAUUAAGAAAAGUUACAAAUAUGUAGAACACAGCAAUAUUCUUCAUUUCUUGAGCUGUCACAAUGCUUGUGUGUUAAGUUCAGAAAUGGGUGUCUUUGUGUUUGUGAUAUAUGCUUGUAGUUGAGAGGAAGAAAUACACAUGCAAUUACUCUCUUAAAAUACCCAUUUCGUUACGCGUCGUUCGCACUUUCCAC